rnacentral:rRNA from 1 species
CCGGCGCACGGGUGAGUAACACGUAUGCAACCUGGCCGUGACAGAUGGAUAACCGGGAGAAAUCCCGCCUAAUACAGCAUGACGCCGGGAAGGGACAUCCCUUUCCGGUCAAAGGAGGCGACUCCGGCAUAGGAUGGCCAUGCGUCGCAUUAGCUAGUCGGCGGGGUAACGGCCCACCGAGGCGACGAUGCGUAGGGGUUCUGAGAGGAAGGUCCCCCACACUGGUACUGAGACACGGACCAGACUCCUACGGGAGGCAGCAG